rnacentral:rRNA from 1 species
UGGGGAAUUUUGGACAAUGGGCGAAAGCCUGAUCCAGCAAUGCCGCGUGUGUGAAGAAGGCCUUCGGGUUGUAAAGCACUUUUGUCCGGAAAGAAAUCCUUGGCUCUAAUACAGUCGGGGGAUGACGGUACCGGAAGAAUAAGCACCGGCUAACUACGUGCCAGCAGCCGCGGUAAUACGUAGGGUGCAAGCGUUAAUCGGAAUUACUGGGCGUAAAGCGUGCGCAGGCGGUUUGCUAAGACCGAUGUGAAAUCCCCGGGCUCAACCUGGGAACUGCAUUGGUGACUGGCAGGCUAGAGUAUGGCAGAGGGGGGUAGAAUUCCACGUGUAGCAGUGAAAUGCGUAGAGAUGUGGAGGAAUACCGAUGGCGAAGGCAGCCCCCUGGGCCAAUACUGACGCUCAUGCACGAAAAGCGUGGGGGAGCAAAACAGGAUUAGAUACCCUGGUAGUCCACGCCCUAAAACGAUGUCAACUAGUUGUUGGGGAUUCAUUUCCUUAGUAACGUAGCUAACGCGUGAAGUUGACCGCCUGGGGAGUACGGUCGCAAGAUUAAAAACUUAAAGGAAUUGACGGGGUCAUAGCUG